rnacentral:lncRNA from 1 species
ACAAGGAAACUAUAAUCUCCUCCUUCACCUUAUCGGUCUCUUCCUUACAGCAAUUCAGUCAUACCAAUAACUGCUAUUUCCACCAAUAUAUUCACCUUCAUAAUCUCCAACUGUAAUGCUGUGCCCUCACAGCUUUCAGCACACAAUUACCCUCAUUUCAGUCACUGGAAUUUUUUACACAGAACUGCCAUUCACAUUACGGUGUUUCAUACAAACACAGACUCAUUCUCUCUACUGAAGUGCAAUUAGAUUUCAGCAUUUAAUCUUUCUUCUUCUCAAAUAAUACCAAUCACAUUUCCAUUCCAUAAUUCACUUCACAAUAUUCAAAAAAUCUCAAUCUUCUUAUUCAAAGAAAAUAACAAACAAAAGAAAAGAGGUAGCACCAAGCUUACCCCGGCUCACACUAUCACAGCGAUGGCCCUCGGCUCAUGACUAUCACAGUCUUGCACCUUAAUUAACUUCUACAACUCCUAUAUACUUUCCCUUGAUUCUCCAAAUUCCAACUGUAAUUUUGUAAUUAACUACUUUUAAUAACUAAAUCACUCAUCUGUCCUUCUGAAUUUUCUAUUAUAUGGACUAUUAAUAUAUUUUACCAAUAACUUUCAAAAACAAAUUAAUAUCUAUUGUACAGUGUAUGUUGAUGCAUCCAAUGUUGUUAUUGGAUCUGUGUUAAGUUAGAAGGAUGAAAAAAAAAUAGAUCAUCUAAUAUAUUAUGCUAGUUGACAAUUGGUGGCUGCCAAACAAAAUUACACUACUAUUGAACGGAAAGCUUUGGGCAUGAUAUAUUCGGUUUAAAAAUUUCGACAUUAUUUGUUGAGCCAUCCAUUUGUAUUUUAUGAGGAUCAUGAUGCCCUAAAAUAUAUGAUUAAUAAGCCUUAGUUGAGUGGACAUAUUGCCAAAUGGAUAUUAUUACUACAAGAAUUUAAUUUUACUAUUAUCAUAAGAUCUAGGAAGAACCGUGCGAAUGUUGACCAUUCAUCCCAAUUGUUCAAUAUCCUGGGCAAUGAACCUAUUCUUGAUGUACUUCUUGAUGAUGAUUUAUUUGAUGUGGAUGUAAUUUCACUGGAAUAUAGUGAAAUAAUUUUAUUUUUGACAUUGCAAAUAUUUUCAUCUGUAUUUAUCGAGAAGCUUAAAAAAUGCUUAAUUUUGAAAAAUGUACCAUAUACAAUGAUUGAUAAUGCUUUGUAUAAGCAAAGAAAGGAUGGCAUUUUAUGACGAUGUAUCUUUCAAAGUGAAGUACAGUCAAUAUUAGAUGGUUGCCACUUGGAUAGUUGUAGUGGAUAUUUUGCUCAUGAUAGUAUUGCUCGAAAAGCUUUAAUGGUCAAAUAUUGGUCGCCAAUAAUAUUUUCAAAUGCACACCAAUAUGUUUACUGCUAUGAUCCAUGUCAAAGAAUUGAUCGACCAACUGGCACUUUUGCCAUGCCAUUAGUACCAAUUUUGGCCCAAGCAACGUUUGAAAAAUAAAAAAUUGAUUUUAUUGGACCAAUUAUAUUAACUUCGCGAUGUUGAGGUAGAAAGAGUUUGCCUCAAGAAAGCACUGGGCUUCUAACUGCCACUAAAUGCUCAAUGAAGUCUAAGAUAUAAAAGUACCAAGUUUAUAUAUAUAAUAUUUUUCCUUUUAGGAUAAUUACAUCAAAACAUAAGCUCAAGUACUAAGAAAACAUCCAAAUGUAUGAUAAAGUAUCUUAAAACCUUAUAUAUCCUUAUAAAAAAUAUUUUCUGAACUUCAACAGCUCAUAUCUCAUGAUUAAACUGUCCAAACAAUCUUAAAUUUUACAUGAAGCAUUGAUAAACUUUCAAAAACUACCACAAAAAAUUCAACCAUAAAUUUGUUACGGAUCUUGGAAUAUCACUAAAAUCCUAAUAAUAGCUACAAAUCCUAGCUUAUAUACAUCCACAUACUAAUUUCUUCAUAUCUCACAAAAUAAGUACUCAAAUACCAUGAAAAUUUGAUCUAUAGCUUCUUUACCUAUUAACUCAUACUUAUAGAAAUUUUAAGCCAAAAAUUCGUCUAAAAACUCAAGAUAUGGCUCCAACUAUUAUUAUCAGUAAAAUGACUUACAUAUUGUCUUUCAAUUAUAUGUGCUAUCUUCAAUGCCUUAUAACUCCUUCAUCCACAUUUAAAAUUUGCCAAACAAUAUAUGUAAAGUAUAGCCAAGAAACUCCAAUCGCUGAUCUUUCAUUGCUCUGUGUAUGCAUAUGUUAUGCUUCAAAGAGUGACAAUAGGUACAAAUUUGACACCUUAACUUUGAAUACAUAUAUCUCCUGUACAAAAACUCGAAAUCACACAAACUUUUUACCUAAGUUAUACCCAAAACUCUGAACUUGCUGACCCUAGCCUCCAAAGCUCGAAUGACUUCGAAAGAGAAAUCCUAAUCUCUAGUAAGGCCUCAGAUAGCCUCUUUGAAGCCCAUUGGAUAUGGCCUUUGAUCAAUAAGAAUGAAGAUCUACAUUCCUUGCCUUCAUCCAACCAUGCCUUCUUUUCAUCCCUCUUAAUAAGCCUCCUAAUAGUUUAAAAUUUCAUCUUUAGACUCCAACCUUUUUUUAAGUUUUAUACUAAAUAUCUAAAUCCUACAUAAUAUAAACGCUAUAAUCAAAAUAGAUAAAUUCUCAAAUAAAUUUUCCUAUAUCAAUCUCUUUAAAUUUAUUUACUAACCACUCUAAUCUAUAUCAAGACUUACAAACAUAUUAUAUGUCUUAAUUAAUUUUUACAUACUAUAAAAUAUUGCAAUAUGACAGUGACAUAGACAGAAGCACUAUAUUUUACUCGCCAUGGACUAUGUAAUUAAAUGGGCAAAGGUUGUUGCAACAUGACAUAAUAAUACAAACAUUGUUGCUACUUUUCUAUAUGAGAAUAUUAUCACUCGAUUUGGAUGUCCCAAAGAAUUGGUUAGCAAUUGAGGAACUCAUUUCAUUAAUUCUACAAUUACAGCUUUCAUGAAUAUGUACGAUGUUGUAUGGCAUGAUUUGCUAUCUAUUAAUACAUUGGGUAUCUAGCUGUAGAGAGUGUAGCUUAAAUCUUUAUAUGAUUCUUGUCUUAGCUUCCAAAAAUCCUUUAUUUUUGUAUAAAACUCCAAAUAUAACAAAAUCCCUUCAAAACAUAUUUUCUUCGGGAAGGGUUUUCUUGCCUUGAACUUUAAAAAAUCAUAACUAUUGAUCUAACUAUUCAAUUUGUUUCAAAUUUAUAAUAUAGGUAGAAUUUAUUCUUAAAUUUUACUACAAAAAAAAUCAAUUGCAAAUUCACUCCCGAACUUUUGGCAUCUAAGAAACCCAAGCAGUCACUCUAAACCCUAAUUUACAAGCAUCCGAAAAACUAUUUUCCUUAUUUUUCAAAAACCCAAACUUCAAAUGUCAUAAAACUUGUGCACAAAGUUUAUUAACAUGAAAUUACACAUUCCCUAAAAUUUUGAGCCAAAACCUUGUCAAAUUGCUCAAGAUGUAGCUCAAGAGACAACCACUAGUAAAUCGGUUUACUUACUACCCUUACAUUGCUUGUGCUGACUUCAAAAUCCAAUAACUCUUUCAUGCCAACUUGAAAUCCAGUAAGCAAUAUGUGAAAAGUAUAGCCACAAAAGUGCUCUCUCCAAUAGCAGUCGCCGAUCCUCAAUUGCUAUCCGUAUGCGUGCGUUAUGCCCAAAAGAAAGACAGUAGGUCCAAAACUAACACCUUAACUUUGAGCGCCUAUAACUUCAUAAAAAUCCCAGAUGACACAAAAAUUACACCAAAACCAUAGCCAAAAACCUAAACCUUCUGACCUUAGCCUUCAAAACUCAAAUGGCCUCGAGAAACUAACCCUAAUCCUUAAUAUGGCCUCAGGUAGCCUCCUCAAAGCCCAUUGGUCAUGAUUUUUGACCAAUAGGAAUGGAGAUUUUCAUUAUUCAUCUCCAUUUAUCUAUAUUGGUGCCCUUAUUACUCCCUUUACUACCAAAACCCUUCUUCAAUCUUUUUUCUUAUAAGAUUAAUAUAAUUUAUGCUCUAAACAUCAAAUAAAAGAACCAAAAGAGGUUUUCAAAGGUCACCAAUGUCUAACAAAGGUAACUCUAAAUAUUUAGAAGUUACUAUGAACUAAACCAAUCUUAAAGGCCAUUAUCAAAAAAGAAAUUAAAGUUAUACAAAUUCUAUAGGAGUCUUUUUAAACAACCUCUUCUUAUAAUAAUAACCAAAUUAUAAUCUACAACCAAUUAAAAUCUACUAACAUAGCUCUUACUAUGUUACUUAAUAAAUUAUAUAUUAAAUACAUAAUUUCAUUAUUUUCAUGUAAUAGCCGAGCCACAACAUGACAACAAGAUCAAGCAUAGAAAAAUAAUUCCAUACAUCCUAGAGCCAAUGGACAAACGGAAAAGAUCAACGAUAUUUUAUGCAAGAUAUUAACUAAGACUAUUUUGGAGGUAGGUACGGAUUAGGAUACCAUAUUAUGUACAACCUUAUAGGCAUAUCAAACAGCAUAUAAAUUAACAACCAAUUCUAUCCCAUUCAAAUUCAUUUAUGGGCAAAAAGUGUUCUUAUCUAUCGAACUAGAAGUCCGUAAUUCAUGGAUUACGAUGGAUGACCGAGUGAGUAAUAAAAAAUACGUGUACUACCAAUUGGUAAAAUUAAAAGAAUUGGAUGAAAUUUGAGCUACUACUCUUUUAAUGAUGGAAGCCACCCAAAAAUGAGAGAAAAGUUACUAUGAUAGUAAACUGUAACCUAAGAGUUUUAUGUCCAUGAAUUUGAUCUUGCUUUAUGAUAGUUAUUUUAAUACUUUUUUAAAAAAAUUUCAAGUUGGAUGGCAUGGUUUGUAUCAGGUGGUUAAAAGAUUUUCCAAUAAGUCAGUCCAAUUGAAAGAUUUUAUGGGCCAUCAAUUUAAUACAUGAAUUAACGGGAACCAAUUACGGCUGCAUUAUACUUAAAAUCCAAGACGGUGUCGAACUGUAAAUGCUUAUAGUAUGUAAAAAUUAUUUAGAACACAUUAAAUGUUAAUAAAUCUAAAUGUAUGUUAGAGUGGAUAAUAGAUUAAAUUAAAAAGAGUUGGUAUGAAAAAAAACUUUAUUUUGUUUUCCUUACUUAGUUUGAUUAUAGUAUAUAAAAGUUAUAGAACCUUAAUGUUAAGUAUGAAGCCUUGAGAGGAGAUAGGGGCCUAAAGAUGAAGAUUUAAACUAAUAGGAGGUUAAUUGGGAGGGAUGAAACCAAGGCAUGGUUGGAUGAAGGUAGAAAUAAGGAUCUUCAUCCCUAUUGGUCGAAAACCAUGCCCAAUGGACUUUUAGGAGGCUGCCCGCGACCUUGAUAAGGGUUUCGGCGACUUCAAAGAGGCCAUUAGGAAAUCAGAGGCAAGGGUUGUAAAGUUUAGGGUUUUGGCUACAAUUUUUGUACAAAUUUUAUAGGGUUUGGAGUUAGGGUGAAUAAGUUAUAGCCGUUUGAAGUUAAGGUGUCAAUUUGAGACCUACUGUUACUCUUUUGAGUUUAAGAAGAGUCUUACAGAAGCUUUUGGAGAUCGGAAGGUGCGGCUGGAAGGGCAACUUCAAGACAUACAUCUUUUGCGAAGGAAAUUUUGCAUUUCGAGUUUAUAUGAAGGAGUUAUAGGGAGUUAAAGACAGCGCAUUCAAAUCAAAGGUAGUAAGUGAACGGUUUUGUUCAAAGUAGUGUUAGGAGCCAUAACUUGAGUUUUCGAACGAAACUUUGGCUCAAACUUUGGGAGAAUGUAAACAUUUGUGUUAAAAAGCUAUCUAUAUAAGUUUCGUGGUAUUUGGACUUAUGGUUUGUGAGAUAUGAAGAAAAUUUCACGCGGGUAUAUAAAGAUUAGGGUUUGAAGUGAUUGUUAGGGCUUUGAAGAUAUCUCAAGAUCCGCGACGAAUUUGAGGUUGAAAUUUGUUGUACAAAUUAAUAACAACAUAUCAGUACUUCAUGUAAAUUUCGAUCUUGUUUGGACGGUUGGAUUAAGAGUUAUGAGGUGUUGAGGUUCGGGAGAAUUUCCACACAAGGAUAUACAAGGUUUUAGAGUACUUCUACCAUAUUUUGGGUGUUGUUGGUUAUUUAAGACUUAAGUAUUUGGUGUAAUUUUCCCAAAAGGAGAACUUAUAUAUAUAAAUUUAGGAUUUCCUUAUUUUAAGCUUGAUUGAGCAAUUAGUGACAGCCAGAAGCCCAGCGCUUUCUUGAGGCAAAACCUCUCUACCCCGACAUCUUGGUGCUUCCACUAAGAGAGCCUUAAGGCACUUAUUUUCAAUAAGUUGAAAUGGGGGAUCAAAAUCUAGGGUUUGGAUUAUCAAGAAGAGUGGGUGCCCAUGAUUUAUUCAUGGCAUUUGCUCAAUUUAUGAAAGAAAGGCAACAAGUACAUAAAGAGGAUAGAAACACUACUAAGGCCUUACAAGUAGUAGUCGACAAAGUUGGGAGGUUUGAUGGGAGGAAUAUCACCAAGUUCUUAAGAAUUUAUAUAUGUGAAAUGGAAGUGUAUCAAGUUUCAAAGAUGAAGAUGAUUACCACCUUUGAUUUCGCAGUGAUACCAGAAAUAAGGGAGAGAGUGCAAGAGUUACAUUCUGAUAUUAUAUUAUAGAAGAAAUUUGAAGAACUCUUGAAAGAUGAAUUUUUUGAGGAGGAUUCAGAAAGAAUGACCAAGGUGACUUUUUUGGAGUGGAUUGAGCAACGGCCUGGGAAUCAAAUGGCUCCAAAUGAAUUAAUCAGGGAGUUUGAAAUAAAGUUUGAUCAAUUGCCAUGGCAAGAGAAGCAGCUAUUGGAAAGAAGGAAAAUUGGAUUAUUCUUAUAAGUAGUUGAUGAACACCUAGAAGAUAAGUUACUCUUUCACCUAGUAGACAAGACAUCUGAGAGUGGUUUUACAAAUAAUUGAAAGCUAGUAAAAGAGACAGUGGGACUUUUGGCUAAACAACAAAAGAUUAAGGCUUAUGGUAUAAUAUCAAGGUUGGAACCAGUGUCUGCAUCUCAAAAUCUAGAGCUACCUCAAAAAGGAAUAAAGACUGUGACGAAUGACACUCUUGAAGAAUUAAUCAAGGACAUAUGGGAUUUGAAGGUGGAAAUGACUGAAUUGAAGAAAUUCCAAAUGGUAAGCUUAUCAAGGGUAGUUGAAGAGUCAAAAGGAUUUGUAGAGAGAUGUAUGUAGUGUGAAAAUCCAAACCACAAGUGUGGUGAUUGUGAUAGCUAUAAGGCUGCAAUCAAAGAUGGUACUGUAUAUUUCAAGGAGGGUAGGAUAAGACUCACAAGAUCAGAUGAGCCUUUAAAGACCAAUUUUGGAAAGGGUGGCAUGAAAAAAUUGGUAGAAGAUCAAACAUCAAAGGGUAAUGCCAUAAAAGGAAAGCAAGUUGAAGCUUAUUCUAUUACGGUUGAACAAAAGGUAGUUAAGACUAAUUCUUCACAAAGCACUAAAGCCAUGAUCAAGGGAGUUGAAGCUAUCAGAAAGAUAACUGGAUGGGAUGAUCCAGUUGAUAUCAUUAGCAUUAAAUCUUUUUUGUAUAAAGACAAACAUGAUGAUGAUUUGCAUGAAGCUAUGGUUGAAGAAAAAAGAGAUAGAGCUAUUUGUGAAGAAGAUGUUGGUGAGCCAACAAACAAGAAGAAGUUGGUGAGCCAACAAGCAAGAAGAGGUCUCCGAGAAAUAAAGAAGCUCAAGAGGAACAAAAUCUUGAGAAGGUGCCUUCUUCUACUCGUCUUGGAGACACACCAUUACCAAAAGAGUGGUGGAAGAAAGACAAAAUGAAGGAGAAGGAUGAUUCUAACAAAGCUAAAGGUAAAACUCCUACCUAUAAGCUUCAAUCUGAUAUAGAGUCAUCAACAGAUAUGAAGAGUAUUUUAGAGGAGAAGAUCUUAGAUGCAAAGAUUGAAUUCACUCUAUGAGAGGCUCUUGGUAUUGCCAAGAGGGAUUUUCAUGAGCUGAUUAUCAAUGUGAUAAAGAGAAAGAGGCAGAUGACAACUGAAGCUAUUAUGGUGGAAGCAUUGGACACUUGGAUAACUGUAGAUGAAGAAGAAGAGAUAAGGCAGGUAUUUGUACAAUUUGCAAUGCCAAAAGUUGGAAGUAAGAUUGAUAUGGAAGACAAGGAUUCACUUAAAUAACUUGGGGUUAUAAAAGAGCAUCAAGUGGAAUAUGCAUAUGAAGAAUCUACUGUAAAAAAAGAGAUUGUACAAAAAGCAUGUGAAAACACUUGUUCUAAAUGUGAUAAUGAUGGAAUGGGAAAUAGUAGCUAUUCAGUUUCUUAUUGGGCUAGAGCUAUUACAGAGGCAUAUGUGAGACUGGGAGAUUUUCAAGAUCCAACUUUGGCCUUAGUUGAUCAUGGAUCUGAAAUCAAUAUUAUGUCAAUGCGGAUAUAUGAAAAGAAUAAAUGGCCAAUUGACAUCAACCAUGGUUGGAUAAUUAGAGCAACAAAUAAUCAACAAGGUGAUUUAUAUGGAGCUUGUCCAGCUAUAAAGACCAAGAUUGGAGAUGUGGAGGUGGAAUAAAAUUUCUUCGUACAAAAUUCUGCUACAUAUCCGGUAAUACUUGGUCAGCCCUAUAUUACUGCUACUAGAAUGGAGACUAGAGUCUUGAAUGAUGGUUCACAUUAUGCCAGGAUUCGCAGUUGGACUGGAAAAAAAGUUGUGUAAUUUAUUACUGUAAAACCUAUUCAUGAGAGGUACAGGAAGCAAUUAAGAGGGAUGCCUUUGGAGCCAAGAAACAAUUUUGUGGAUUUCUAGAAAGCACCUCUGUAAGAUGGGGACACAUGGGUAUAAAUGAAUCAUCUAUAAAUCCCAGUGUAGAUCAUAUGACUUUUGGAUUUUUAAACUUUACUAAUAAUGGAUUUAUAAGUAUUCAAAAGAUUAAAGAUUUAGAUUUUGUAAAUAAAAGAAGGGUGAAGAAACAAGAGAAAAACUUAAAAAGAGUGGAUUUAGUUUCAAGUGAUGAAGCCAUAGUUGGAAUGAUAGAAGAAGUGGGUUUUGAAGAGGAUUUAAUAGAGGUUUUGGAAGAUUUGGCUGUAAGCAUGGAUAGAGAUGCUAUUGUAGAGUUACACUCAAGAGAAACUUAUAAGGAGUUAGAAAAGAUAGUAGCAAAUGGUGGACUUGCUACAAGCUAUGGGUUGAAACAAGAGGCUAAAGUACAAACUAAAUAUAAAACUGUAGCUAAAAAGAUUAAACUUGUAGCUACCCAGUUAUCAGUGGAUACUAUGGAGCAUAUCAAACAAGCAAUUAUGGAGCUAAGUUUAAAGAAAAGGUACAAAAUUGGACAUCAAUUUACUCAAGAAUCAUUAUUUAAGCUGAAGAUUGGAGGGGGUGAUUUCUUGACAUCAAUAGAGAAGAAUCUUUUUCAAAAAAUGCUUAUUGAAUAUGGUAAGGCAUUUGCCUUAAAUCCUAAUGAGAUUGGAUGUGUGGAUCCUAAUUUUAUAGCACCUAUGGUAAUCUUUACGAUACCACAUAUUCCAUGGGAUUUAAAACCUAUACCUGUGCCUAGAGCUUUGCUUCCAAAAUUGAUAGAAUUAUUGAAGGAAAAAGUGAAGAUGGAAAUUUUAGAACCUUCAAUUGCUCCCUACUCUAAUAGAUGGUUUACAGUACCCAAGAAGUCAGGGACAUUGAGGUUCAUUCAAGAUAUGCAACCUGCAAACAAAGUGACUAUCCGAAACAUGGGAUCAGGACCUAUAGUAGAUGAAGUGGCUGAGCAAUUUGCAGGUCAUGCCAUCUAUUCUAUUGGAAACUUGUAUUCUAGGUAUGACCAAUUUCAAUUGGCUAAAGAGAGUAGAGAUUUAACCACCAUGAAGAUUCCUUUGGAUUUAAUGAGGAUGUGUACUUUACCUCAAGGUGCAACCAACUCAGUGGCUCAUAUGCAAAAUGCUAUGAACCAAAUAUUAAAAGACUUUGUACCUGAGAAGGCCAUCCCAUUUUUGGAUGAUAUACCUAUUAAAGGAGAUAGAGAAGAAGAUAAGGAUGAGACCAUGGAGGUUUAAGGUUGCAGAAAUUUUGUCAAGAGGCAUAUUGAAGAUGUGGCUAAGAUAUUAGAGACAUUGGAAUUAGUUAACUUGAGAUUAUCUUUAGAGAAAUCAAGCUUUGGAGUUGAUAAAAUUCUAGUCGUGGGACACAUGUGCGACAAGUAUGGUAGAAAACCAAACCUUGAUAAGGUUGAUGCUAUAUCUAGAAUGAAGGCUUGUAAAAGUGUUAGAGAAGUCAGAAGGUUUUUAGGGGUGUGUGUAUUCUAUCAUAUUUGAGUGUCUUUCUUUGCUCAUAUCUCAGAACCACUAUACAAGUUAUUGAGGAAAGGUAAGAGAUUUGUUUGGAGAGAAGAACAAGAAAUAGCUAUGGAAAAUCUAAAGAAGAUGUUGAGUUCACCACCUGUGCUUAGACAAGUGGAAUAUUAAUGUGGAAGACCAAUGAUUGUAAUAGUGGAUACAAGUCCUAUAGCAAUUGGAUGGACAAUUGGAUAAGAUAAUAUGGAAGGGAGAAGAUUUGCUAUAAGAUUUGGAGCUAAGAUUCUUACAAAGAGGCAAAAGACUUAUCCACAAGUUAAAAGAGAGGUUUGGGGAGCACUCACUGCUCUAAAGGCUGAAAGGAAUUAUUUGAUUGGAGUAAGUGUGGUUUUAGAAACAGAUUGUUUACCUAUACUUGGAAUGAUAAUUAACUGCACUACUCUAGAUAUUGCUAUGCUAAGAUGGAUAGCAUAUAUAAGAACAUUGAAUCCUGUUUUAGUACAUAUUACUGAUAAAAAAAACUUAGUGGCAGACAUGUUGUCUAGAGCUAGAUAUACCUUUGAAGAAGAAAUGGUGUUUCAUGAAAGGAGUGAAGAUCAAGAAGACAAGAGCUACAGAAAUUUAUUUUCUACAGGUGGAAUGGAUUUUAAUGAUGAGGCUGAAAUUUUCCAUAAGGAUUUGUAUGAAGGCAAAUUGAGGGAUAUUGAAACUUACUUGAGCAAAAUGAAGAAGCAAGAAGGAUGGAUGGAUAAGACCUUCAAAGAUAUUAGACAUCAAUUCUAUGGUUAUCUACUUAAAGAUGGAUUCUUAUGGAAGAGGCCAAAAAGAGGUGAUAAAUUUUCAUUAAAGGUAGUAGGAGAUCUUAAGACUAAAAUUCAAGUUUUGAAAGAAUAUCAUGAUACACUUUGGGCAGGACACAGGGGAGUUUGGACUACAUAUACCAAGAUCAAGGAAAGGUAUUGGUGGAAGGGUCUAUACAAAGACGUAGAAGACUUUGUAAGUUCAUGUACAGAGUGUCAACUACAAUCCAAGGUUAGAUAUAGAGAUGGAUUACAUCCUACUUAUCCACCUUCUAUACAUUUUCAAUGGGUGAUUGAUUUGGUAGCUAUGCCAUUAGGACUUUGGGGUAUGAAAUACUUAGUUUUGGCAAGAGAGGAGCUAUCAAAUUAUGUUGAAGGGAGGGCUUUGUACCUUCUUCAAUUCAUUUGCUAAUAGCUUAUAAUAUUGUUGAGCCAUUUCUAAGUGAGUCUUUAUGAUUGCUUGUAGUUGAGCCAUCUUCGUAGUAAACUACUCUAUUGUUGGAUUUGCAGACUUUGAAGGCUCUAUCAUAUCCAACUUUGGAUGAUGGCCGUAGUUUGAGAAGAGUAGCAAUUGCUAUGUAGAUGCAUAGAUUGUAUUGUUGUAUGCAAAUUUAUCAAGGACAAGUAGGAAGUCCAAUCGUCUUGUUUAUAAUUGAUAGUACACUUUAAAUAUUGCUCAAGAAUUUGAUUGAUCAGCUUUAUUUGGCCAUUAGUUUGAGGGUGAAAGGUAGAGAAAAGGUUGAUGACAACCUUAAGAACCUUGAAGAGUGCCUUUCAAAACCUUGAUACAAAUUGUGACCCAUGAUUCGACACAAUGUCGUUUGAUAAUUUAUGAUAACAAUAGACAUUAUCAAUGAAAAGUCUUGCCAUCUCUUCACUAGUAAUUGACUUCUUAUAAGGUAUAAAAUGUAUUAUCUUAGUCAAUUGAUCAACAACUAAAAAGAUAGUGUCAAAUGAGCUUGAUGGUAGAAGAUCUGUAAUAAAAUCUAUAGAAAUAGGUGACAAUGGUUGUCUUGAAAUAUGUAUAGGUUGAAGAAGUCUAUAUGACUAAUGUUGAGAGUUCUUUGAUCUUGAAUAAGUAUCACAUGAUAGUACAAAUUUUUUAAUGUCCUUCUAUAUUUUAAGCCACCAAAAGUCUUUGGACAAAAGUUCCAAGGUUUUGUUGAAUGCAAAAUGUCCGACUAUAUAAAAGUCAUGGCAUGUUUGAAGAAUGCCUAAGCAAGUUGGCCUUUCAAGAAUGAACAAACAUUCUUCAAAAAAUAAGAGAUUAUCUUCAUACUUGAAUUUAAAAGACUCUUCAAGAAGGUUGUUGGUAAGACGAUUGAUAUUAAGAACAAGAGGGUCCGUAUUUGAGGCUUUACAAACUUCAUCAAGAAAUGAUAAAUCCACAAGCAUUGAUACAUUGGUUGCUCAAAGAUGAAAUUAUUUAGGCUUUAACAAGGUUACUCAUUGUUGAUCAUAUGCUGCCUCACCUUCUUUUGCUUCACGAUAGAAAUGUCUUGAUAAUACAUCUGAUAAUCCUUAUUGGCUCUCGAGUCGAUACAUGAUGCAAAAGACAAAUUGUGAUAAAGAUAUACUCCAAUGUACUUGGUGAAAAUUCAAGACUCAGACUGAUAUGAAGUAUUGAAGAUUCUUGUGAUUUGUAUAUAUAGUCACCUAUUGAGAGGUGCUUUCAAAAAAGUGGCACCAUUUUUGGAAAGAUUCUAUUAUAACAAGCAGCUCUUUAUUAUAGAUUUUGUAAUUAAUUUCUAUCAUUGAAAAUUUUUUAGAAUAAAAUGCAAUUGAAUGAAGUUUGUUAUCUUCUCUAUAUUGCAACAAGAUUGCUUCCAAUACAAAGUUUGAAGCAUUGGUUUCCUUAAAAUAGGGCUCAUUGAAAUCUAGAUAUAUCAAAAUGAGAGUUAUUAUAAAAGUAUCUUUUAAGCUUUUAAAAGCUUUCUCUACUUCAAGGCCCUAGUCCAACUUGUGCUUGUAUGUCAACUGAAUAAAUAAAGCAACGAUCUUAGAGUAAUUUUUUAUCAAAAAUCUUAUAAAAAUUUACUAAUCUAAAAAAACAUUAAACAUCACAUAUAGUUUUUGGCUUUUCUCAAUCGAUGAUUGCUUAUACCUUCUUUGGAUCUAUAAAAAGGCCUUUAUUGGAAAUAAUAUAUCUAAAAAAUUUGACUUGAAGUACAUGAAAUAUACAUUUCUCCUGUUUUGCAUAUAGCCCAGCACUUUGUAGUUUUUUUAGUACAAGGUGGACAUGUUUUUUGUGGUCUUCCAGAUUCUUGAAAAAUAUUAGAAUAUCAUCUAAAUAAAUCACAACAAAGUCAUUGAGAUGCUCACAAAAUAUAUCAUUCAUUAAGUAUUGGAAUAUUGCUAGUGCAUUAGUAAGUCCAAAAGGCAUGACAUUGUAUUCAAAAUGUCCAUACUUGAUACAAAAUGUUGUCUUCUAUUCAUCUCUCUCUUUAAUGCAUACCAAGUUAUAAGCGCCUCGUAAAUCAAUCUUUACAAAGAUCUUUGCUUGGCUAAGUUGAUCAAAAAGUCCUAAUACUAAUAGUAAUGGAUAUCAAUUUUUUACGAUGAUUUUAUUAAGAUCGCAAUAAUUGACACACAUUGGUAAAGCUCCAUUUUUUUUCUUUACAAAUAAUAUCAAAGUACCAAUUGGCAACUUGGAACGUUGAAUAAAAUUCUUAGUCAAAUUUUUUUCAAUGUAUUUCUUUAAAGUCGCAAGCUCAUUCUAGGAUAAAUUAUACAUGAGUCUAAACAGUGGUUGAGCACCUUCUUCAAGAUCAAUUGCACAAUUUUAAGGGUGAUGCUUUGGUAAGAUGUCCAUAUUUUUCUUUUCAAAUACAUCUACAAAAUCCUUAUACAACUUUGGAAUUGUUGUUGUAGCAACCACAGGUUCCAAUUGUGGAUUUGCAUAAAUAGCAAACGUUGUACCUUGUUUAGCCACCCUCACAAAUACUCUGGCUUCAAUAAAUAAAUGUUGUUUAAGUCUUAGCUUGUCAAAUUUUAGAAUCUUUUUCAUAGAUCUGGAGGUUCUAUGAUCUACUAGAACAAAUUCUAACUUUUGAGAUAUCCAAUUUUGAGCUCUCAAUUAUAUUCUAAAAUUUAAAUUUUUAUUAUUUUCCUAUUUUAUGAUAAUUAAAAAUAUUGGAUUAGGAUUUAUAUAAGUAGAAUUCAGUUUUAUAGAAUUUUUAGGAUUACAACCCUUCAUCAUAUAAAUCAUAGCCUAAUUCCUUGAAUUAGAUUAAUUAGGACUAAAGUGAUAAGAGUUAAAAAAUUAGAAUAGCAACUUAAUUACUUUAAUAAUUUAGAGGUCGUUAGUCAUUACAAUAAGGACUAACUAAAAGCCUAUGAGUGCAUCUAUAAUCAUUCAUAUGAUUUAGGAGUUGGAAUUAUAAUUCUCUAAAAGAUUUAUGGAAGUUAGCAAUGGUAAUUUUGGAUUUUCCUCCAAAUUCGACAAAUUUAAGUGACAUGGUGGUUCUUCUACUUAAUGGGAGUCUCUUUAAUGUAAUGGUGGCACUGGAUUUACCUCGUGGAGUGAAAAAAACAAGAUCAGCAACCUCUCCUUCAAAAUACAAGAGAAGAAAUGAAAUUCUCAUUUUGAAGAAUUUCACAAAAAUUGCCAAGAUCCUUGAAAGUAAAAACUUCCAUAAAAAUUAUAAUUGAGCAUGGAUUGAGGCAUGUGAGUAGUCGAUCUUAGCUUAAAAAGGUAUUUUGAAUACAAUAGUAAAGUUAGAUUUACAAAAAAUGCUUGCUUGACCACUUACAGGAGCCAUCAACCUUGAUAACGAGAUUGGCUCUUUGAUGAAUGAAGGCUGUAGAUCUAGAUUAGGGAUCUUAAAAAUCAAGGGUGGAGAUGAAGCCACCCUUCUACGAACCUCCACUCAAUUGUAUAAUAGAGGCUUGGUUUUCCAAGCCCUCUCUCUCUUCUUUUGAGUGAAGGGCAGAGCCAUGCCAAAAUUUGGCCAAAACCCUAAUCUUAAUUUUAUUUAGAUUUUAAUUCUCAUUUUGAACCUUGUGAUUGUGUAUGUAUGGAUUUUUUAUUGUGAAAGAUGGUCAUUAAGUUUUAAAAUAUGUUUCAUUGAGGUAGAUAUCUCCUCGGCCUUUCAAAUACCCCAAGGGUUUCAAGGGCCUCGGAUUUCCUUCAAUCCGUCACUCAAUUUCUGUUUUUUCAAUGUGAAAUUCUAAAUAUAUGUAGAUUUUGUUGUUAGCUUUUCAACAAGAGAAGAUUUGCUUGAUUUGGAGUAAAAAGGAAUUUUUUGUGAAUUUCUGAGUUUGAGUGAGUCGACUGCCUUUGCAGCUUGAAUCAAUCAAGUUUGGAAAGGCAUUUCUCAGUGCCUAGUGAUUGGAUUUAUUUGAAAUUUUGGGAGAAUCAAAAUCUAUAAGCUAAGCUCUGAAAGGCAUAAGUUUUGUUGAAUUUUAAGACAAUCUGAAUUUUUAGUGAAUUUCUAAGUGAAGAGGGUUGGUCACCAUGGUAGUUUGGAUCACUCAACUUCAAAGGAGGAAUUCUCACGACUGAUUCAUUAGAUUGCAACGAAGAUUGUUGGAUCAAAAGCUCCUUCAAGUCAGCCUUGCAAAAAGCUAAGAAUCAUUCAAAUUGAAAUCGAUUACAAAUUUUGGCAAAUUUUGGAGUAGAAGGGGGAAGCUGCCUUCAAUCCUUACGUAUUGUCAAGGUACCUUCGCUUUCACCUCUCUCACUUUAUUUUUACUAUCGUCUUCACAGUGACUUGUAAGCUCCACAUUUUACAUUUUGGCUAAUAAAUUUUAAGUUUAACUUUUCACCUUUAAUAUUCUCACUUUAACUUUUAACUUUUAAUUUUAACUUUAACUUUUAAAUUAAACUUUUAAUUUUAACUUUUCACUUAAUCUUUAAUCUUCAUUUUUAACUCAUUUUUUUUUACUAAACCUUUUGAUUUUAAUUUUUAACUUAACCUUUUAAUUUCAAAUUUUAAGUUAAAUUUUUAAUCUUAAUUUUUAACUUAAUCUUUUUUAACUUAACUUUUAACUUAGCUUUAAUUCAAACUUAAGUUUUUAUUCUUAUGGUCAAUUAAUAGUAAUAACUUUUUUAAUUAUUUUCAUUAUAUUUGCAUAGUAAACUUUAUUUAACAUAUUAAUUUAAUGUUGGUAACCAAUACUUGGAAGGCCUAAAAUUAAUUGAAUUUUUAAUAUAAAGAUUUAAAUUAAUCUAACAAUUAUACAAUUGGGAGCUCUCUAAUUCCACCUCUUGGACUUCUUGUAUGGCAUAGGUUUCAUCAAGUGGUGAAAUUUGGCCUCAUACCAAUCUAUCUAUGGAUUAUAUUUUUUAAGCCAUAAUAGUCCUAAAAUGACUGGAUUUGAUGGUGAUAUAAUGACGUUGUCAAAGUUUAUUUAUAUUGAAAUCGUUUUGUGAGUGACAUCUCCAAAGGAUAAAGAUCGACCAUCUAUUACUUCUAUAUGUACAGCUUUGGAUUUUUUGACAGUACAGAUUUUAUAUAAUCUAGAAAAUUCUUCAUCAAUAAAACAUGUAGAGGCUUUCAAAUUAAGUAUUGCAUGACACCCUAAUUUUGUGACUCCUAACUAUACAAGUAUAUUAAAACAAGCAGAAGGGCUAGUAGACAUUACAUAAUCUUUUUUAGUUUGAAAUAGUGAAGAAUCCAACCGUACGAUUCCUACUAUGGCUAGAUGCCCUUGUUUUCCUACAACGCUCUUGAUGAUAUGGCUACACUCCUCAUUAAAUAUGUACGGUGGCAUUUCUCUAAACAAUUAUUAAUCUUAUCGCUAUAUUUUCCACAAUAUAAGUAUAGGCCAACUUUUCUUUAACAACUUUUUUCUUGUUCAGAAAGAGGUUUAAAGAAAAUUAAAUCAAUUUGCAUAUUUAUUGCUUCCAAUUGCUCAUUAGAAUUGGACAAUGAAGAAGAUAUAAAAUAAUUGGUAUAUACAAUGGCGUAAUUGAAGAAUAUUUAUCUUGUCAUCGUUGAAAUAAAUGAUUAUUGUACUUCACAGCUUAACUAUUGGCUUCAUUGAAUGUUAGAGGAUCUAACAUAGACAACAAUAAGUCCUUGACAUUGUUUCUUAAUCCCCAAUGAAAUUGGCUCAUCAAUGCAUCUUCUCUUCAAUUUAUAUCACAUGUUAAUUGUUAGAAAUCUAAGGUAUACAUUGAUGUAGAGUGUAUUCUUUGUUGAAGGUUUCAUAUUUUAAUUGUUGAAGAAUGAACCUUAUUAUAUUCACCAAAUGCUUCCACAAAUACUCCCAAAAUACUUCAAAAUUGUGUAAUGUAGGAGAUUUUUUUUUAAAUAAUGGAUAAACUAGGAUAAAGCUUGACCUAAGAGCAAGGUUGCAACAAAAUCCAAUAUGAGAUGUUUUAGUGGAAUAUUAGUCAUACUUGGUUUACAAAGCCAUGGAAUAAUUAAGUAAGGUAAUUAGUCAUACUUGGUUUACAAAGCCAUGGAAUUUUGAGCAGGUACCAUCUAAUUUUUUUGGAAGGCUAAUCCUUGGUUCUUUUGUUAUUAUUAUUAUUAGAUCAUUGCCUUGAGUAGAUGCACCUUCCAUGUUUGAAGUCAACAUAGUCGUUUGAGAAUUGGAACCUCUGUUGCAAUUUGAUGUAAUGGUUGAGGCACUCCGACUCUUUGAUCAUUUUGUAUGGUUAUAUAUAGUUCUUCAUUCUACUUUGAUAAAGUCUCUAUCUUAAUCUUCAAUACUUCAAGAUCAUUAAUAAUAGAAUCUAAUUUGAUAUCUUUAGAAUCUAUUAUAUUAACUAUUUCAUCUUUUUCUAUAAAAAAUUAAAAAAACUUACGUCUUUAAAAGAAAAAAACUUGAUCUAUGAUAUUAAGAAAAGAAACCAAAAGAAUAUUAAAAAAAAGAAUAAUAUUAGUCUAAAGGAGGAUAAUCCACAACCUCUAUAAUGCUAUAGUAUUUCCAAAAAAAAGAAUAAUCUACUCUCUAACAAGAAAGACCAAACUCUUAAUAUUAUUUUAAGGCAGACUCAAAAAACUAUUAGGAACCAUAUAUAAGACAAGGAUUUAAGACCAAGAAAUGGAAUUAGCUUGACAUUAGAACAACAACUGGAUACAAGACAAGAAGGUCCUGACUAAACCAUAAAAAGUGAGUUGUCGAGACUGAAGAUCUCUUCAAUCUUAACUCCUAUAUAUACUAGAUCCUAAGAAGCUUCUUAAAAAGUUUUCAUGAAGCUUGAAAACAAAGCAAGCCUAAGAUCCUUCUUCAACAACUUCCUAAAUCAUCUAAAGCCUCCUCGAACCUUCUAGGAUCUUCUAUGAUAUUCUAAAAUUUUCUUAGAAUCUACUGAAACCUCUUAGAAUCUUUUAGAAUCUUUUAGAAUCUUUUAAAAUCUUCUAAAAUUUUCUUUAGUUGUAUGUCUGUGACAUAAGUCUAGUAUAAUCAAAUCUUUAAAAAUAGGUGCAAGAGCUUUCAUACAUGCCACAAAAAAAUAGAUUAUCUUUUGUUUUGUAUGCCACACUUAUUUUUUAUAGUAAAAAGAUGUCAAGUAAUAUUCCUAGCCAGUAUGAAGCUUUUGAAGACAUUUUUGAAAAGAAGAAUGUAGAUAUUUUUUCAAAGCAUUGUCCUUAUGAUUGUUCCAUUGAUCUUUCCAAAUGAGCUCAAUGACUAUUUGGACCAAUUUAUAGUCUAUUACAAAACAAGUAGGCUGCACUUAAGGAGUAUAUUGAUGCAAACUUGGCUAAGAAUUUCAUACAUUAUUUUAAAUCUCUAAUUAGGGCUCUUAUUUGUAAAAAAGAAAAGAUGGAUCUCUAUAAAUGUUUGUAGACUAUUAACAACUCAAUAAGAUUACUAUCAAGAAUAGAUAUCUUUUAUCUUUGAUUUCAAGACUUUUUUAACAAUUCAAUUAAGCAAAGGUCUUAUUUCAUGUUGACUUCUCCAAGGCAUUUUUCAUGGAAAUAGUUGCAUUGGAUUUUUCCUUAGAUAUAAAAUUAUCACAAAUAGGAGCAAAUAACAAACUCCAUCUAAUAGCUUUCUAUUCCAAAAAAAAUUUAGCAACUAAUAUUAAUUAUGAAAUCUACAAAAAAAAAACUUUUUGUAAUUAUGAAUUCAUUUCAAGAAUAGCAUCAUUAUUUAGAAGGCAUCUCAAGUCUAAUCACGAUAUAUGUAAAUCACAAGAACCUCAAGUACUUCAUGUUGACAUAUAUUUUGAAUCAUUGCCAAGCUUGUUGGAGCAUGUCUUUACAAAGAUUUGAUUUUAAGAUCACUUACUGGUUCGGUGUCGUAUUAAGAUUUGGCUAUUAUAUAAAAAUGAUACAUAAAUAUAAAUUUAAUAUAUAAAUUACUAUAUAAUAUGGUAAGAGCUAUAUUAUUAGAUAAUAUUUAGUCAUAAAAUAUGAUUGAAUCACUACUUUGAAGUGGUUGUUUAAAAGAACUAAUAUUGAAGUUGAUUUUAUGUUGAUAAUAAUUUUAUAUGUUUAGAGCCAUCUUUAUCAGACAUUAAUGAUUCUUGAAAUCUUAUUUUAUUUCAUUUAGUUGGUAUUUGUAGAAUAGAUAUUAAUUCGUUUUUGAAAGAUAUUGAUAAAAUAUAUAAAUAGUCCAUAUAAUAGGAAAUUUAGGAGGACGGAUGAGUGAAUUAGUUAUUAAAAGUGGUUAAUUAUAGAAUUAUAGUUAGAAUCUAGAGAAUCAGUGGAAAAUAUAUAGGAGUUGUAGAAGUUAAUUAGAGUGCCAGACUGUGAUAGUCAUGAGCCAAGGGCCAUCGCUGUGAUAGUGUGAGCCGGGGUAAGCUUGGUGCUACCUCUUUUCUUUUGUUUGUUAUUUUCUUUGGAUAAGAGGAUUGAGAGUUUCUGAAUAUUGUGAAGUGAAUUAUGGAAUGAAAAUGUGAUUGGUAUUAUUUGAGAAGAACAAAGAUUGAAUGCUGAAAUUUGAUUGUAGUUCAGCAGAGAGAAUGAGUCUAUGUUUGUUUGAAACAUCGUAAUGUGAAUGGUAGUUCUGUGUGAAGAAUUCCAGUGAUUGGAAUGAAGGUAAUUGUGUCCUGAAAGUUGUGAGGAUGCAGUAUUACAGUUGGAGAUUAUAAGGGUGAAUAUAUUGGUGGAAAUAGCAGUUAUUGGUAUAACUGAAUUGCUAUAAGAAAGAGAUCGAUAAGGUGAAGGGAGAGAUUAUAGUUUCCUUGUGUAUUCAGGUAUUGGAAAUAGAGACGAUACAUUCAGGAGGUUAUUGAUUGUGUGACCCUAAUGUGAACGCUUAAGCAACUAGUCAUUCCCUGUGUUUGAAUCCCUCUAUAUGGGUUUAUUUCCAUUAGAUUAAUUUGAAAUAAGUAAAACGAGCAAUCACAGUGUUUAAGACAUAUAUUAUAUAAAUCUUGUAAGAAAAAAGAUUAUAGAAGGAUUUUAGUAGCAAAAAGAAUAGUUAGAACAUUCACAUGGAUGAAUGAAGAUGAAUGAUGAAAAUUUUUAUUUUUAAUACCCAAUGGAAUUUAAAGAGGCUGCUGAAGCUCUUAUUAGGGAUUAAGAUUACUCUUUGGAGGAAAUUUAAACUUAGGAUGCUAGAAUCAAAGAUUUUAGGUUUUUAGCUAUAGCUUUUGUAUAAAUUUUGUAUGAAAGAAAUAUAGGCGCUUAAAGUUAAGCUAUUGGUUUUGUACCUACUAUUAUAUUUUUGGACAUAACACAAUCGUACAAAAAGUAACUAAGAAUUGGUAAUUGAAAUUAGAGAGACCACUUUUUUAACUACACUUUUUAGAUACUGUUUGAUAAAUUUGAAGCUGAGAUGAAGGAGUUAUAGGAAGUUGAAGUCAAUACCUCAUAUUUAAGGGUAGCAAAUAACUUGAUGUACUAUUGGUUGUAUUUUGAGGUAUCUCUUAAAAAAUUUAACAAGAUUUUAGCUAAAAAUUUCCAAAAAUACAUGUUAUUAUGUCAAUAAUUGCUAUAUACAAAUUUUAUAGCUUUUACAAUUUGGAUUUUUGAGAUAUAAAAAAAAUAGAUCUAGUAUAUUCUUAGAUAGAAAAUCAUGCCAUAGGACACCAAAAACAAUAAGGUUUAUUAGGAAUCCUUUUUAGACGUUUUAAUCUUACACCAAAAAAAAAAGAUGUAUUUUUUUUUAUUAAGAAAGAAUGAUUUUCGUGAAGCCAAAACAUUUUUACCUUCGAGCAAUAAAAUCAACAUUGAUUGUUGAUUCAACCUUUAUCAAGAAAAUUCAAAAAAGUAUGUCUUCUAAUCUUCAUGUCCAUGAUAUUAAGAAUAAUUUUUUUAAGUCCCAUAAUACUUUCAAGUUUGAGUUCAAAAACAACCUAUUUAAUUUUGAAAGACAGUUAUAUAUUCCACAAGGUAUGACAUGAUUACGUGUUCUUCAAACUUGUCAUAACUUUUUAGUUGCUAGAUAUUUUGGAUAUAAUAAAACUUAGGAGCUAAUAUCAAGAGAUUUUUGGUGGCCUCAAAUAUGGAAGGCAAUCAAAGACUUUGUACAAUCAUGUGAUAUUUGUUCAAGAUCCAAAACUCCUUGCCUUUGACAUGAUGGACUUCUUCAACCAUUACCUAUCGUAGAACAAUCAUGAUCUUCUAUCUCUAUGGAUUUUAUCACGGAUCUUUCAAUUUCGAGUUUAUAUAAUUUUAUAUUUGUGAUAGUAGAUCAUUUUAUCAAGAUAGCACAUUUUGUAUUAUAUACAAAAUCUAUCACAUGUGAAGAAAUGGCUAAGCUUUUUUUAACAAUAUCUAUCAUUAUUAUAGAUUGUUUAAAGAUAUUAUAUUAAAUAAAAUGACUCAAUUUAUAUCAAGAUUUUAGAGAAUCUUUUCUAAGAUUUUAAAAGAAGAUGUAAAGUUUUUUUUGACUUUCCAUCCUCAAAUUGAUGGAUAAACAAAAUGAGUGAAUUAAAUUUUGGAGUAUUACUUAAAGUAUAUCAUCAACUAUCAUCAAGAUGGUUGAACAACUUUUUCACCAAUGAUAGAGUUUGCAUAUGAUAAUUUGGUAAAUUCCUCCACUCAAUAGAUAUUUUUUUUUUAUCAAUUAUGGUUAUCAUCUAUAACUUUAUACUUUUGACUUUUCAAAAGUUGAUAAUCCUGCAAUAGAAGUUUUAGCAAAUCAUAUAUCAGAGCUACAUACAAUAAUUAAGGUGCAAUUAAAGAGAACUUAAGAACAAAAAAAUAUUAAUGCAGAUGCCUAUUGCAAUGAAAAAUCAUAAUUUAAUGUGGGUGACAAAGUAUGGUUAUUUUAUUACAAUAUCAAAACUACUUGUCUUUGUAAAAAGUUGAGCUAUUAUAAGUUUUGAGCUUUUUCUAUUAGUAAAUAAAUUAAUCAUGUUGCUUAUUGAUUAUAUCUAUCAAAGUCUAUGAAGAUCCAUCUUGUAUUUUACAUAUCUCUUUUUGAGCCAUAUUAGACAAUGAAUAUCUUAAAAAGAAGACAAAUGCCACUUCUUCCUAUAAAAGUCGAUAAUAAUCAAGAAUUUACGGUAGAAGAAGUCUUAGAUUCAAGGGGGCACCAAAAUAAGUUGAAAUAUCUUAUUCAUUGGUGCGGAUAUGAUAUUAUUAAAUGCACAUUGAAGCUAGCGAAGAAACUUACAAAUGUAGCAAAGAGAAUUGAAGCUUUUCAUCAAUGACAUUCAUCAAAACUAAGAUGAAGAAUAGCAAAUCUUUGUUAUAAAAGAAACAAGAUCAAAAGAAGAUAAUACUCUAUUUUCUAUCCUUCUUUGUAGCCUUUGUGUAUUUGUGAUGCUAAGAAGAUAGAAAACCAAUAACUAGUAGAUUCAAUUGAAGAGCUUUUAUUUCCUAACUUAUCAAACAAAAUAUUGCAAUUGUUAUAAUCUUUAAGAUGACGUAAUCGAGAUGAAGAUCCUCAAGAACAAUAAGUCCUUCCUCAAAUAAAUAAUAAGAUACAAAGUUAUUUUAUUGCAUAAUUUUUUAUCUAAGAAUACAUUGAGUACUUAGCUAUAGAGAGUUUAGUUUUACCUUAUUGGCCAAGCUCCAAUAAGUUAUCUAACCUUUAAAGUAGAAGUCAAAUAAAUGCUAUAAUAUCAAAAAGAUAUUUUAUUAAUAAAAUCUUUUAUAUUUAAGAAGGUUUAUACAUAAGGCUUUCUAAAAUAUCUAGGAAUUUUCUAAUAUUCUUGGUUAUACCAAAUCAUAACUAACUAUUUGUUGGUAAGUUAGAUUUUCAAAAAUUCCAAAGAAAAUCCAUAAUAUCUUCUAAAAAAUUCAUCUUUAUAUCAAAAUUUAAUCAUAGCUCUAUAUAUCCAUCUUCAAUAUAUAUAUAAAGUCUUAAAUUCCAAAAAAACUCCUUUACUUUGUAUAAUAAAAUACUUCAAAAUAUAUUUUUUUACAAAGGUUUUUUUUUUCUUAAACUUUAGAAAUUUAUAUCUCUUGAUCCAACUAUUCAAUUUUUUUUCAAAUUUAUAGAUAAUAUAUAAUUUAUCCUUACACGUUAUUACAAAAAAAUUCAACCAUAAAUUUACUACCAAUUGUCUAAUAUCUUAAAAAUCCUAAUAGGUGCUUCAAACCCUAAUUCAUAAGUAUCUGAGUAAUAUUUUCUUUAUAUCUCAUAAAUCCAAAAUCCAAAUGCUAUAAAAUUUUUAAAUUAAGUUAAUUAAUAUGAUAAUAGAAAUUCUUACAAAUUUUGAGCCAAAAUCUCAUCAAAUUGCUCAAGAUAUAGCUCAAAAUACAACCACAAGUGAAUUAGGUCACUUACUACCAUUAGAUUUGCAAGUGCUUAUUUCAACCUCCAACAUCUCCUUCAUUUUGACUUAAAAUCCAUCAAAUAGUAUGCCAAAAUUGUAGCCAAAAAAGUUUUCUCUUCAAUCUCAGCCGCCGAUUUCUGUACGCGUGCGAUAUAUCCAAAAGAAUGACAAUAGGAACAAAAUUAUUAAGUCAACUUUGAGCAGCUAUAUCUCCUUCAUAAUAACUCCAAUUGACUCAAAAUUUGUACCAAAAUCAUAGCUAAAAACCUGAACUUAUUGACUUUACUCUUUAAAAGCUCAAAUGGCUCAAAAGUGUAAUCCUAAUCCCUAUUAUGGCCUUGACCCGCCUCCUUGAAGUCCAUUGAUUAUGAUUUUUGACCAAUAGGAAUGGAGAUUUAUAUUAUUCAUCUCCAUUCAUUCAUAUGGGUGUCCUAAAUAUCUUUUUUAUCUAUAAAAAUCCCUCUUCAUCUCUUUUUUUUAUAAGAUUUAUACAAUAUAUGUUCUAAACAUCAUAUGAAAGAAACAAAUAAGACUUUAAGGGUCACCAAUAUCUAACAAAGGUGACUCUAAAUACUUAAAUGUUACUAUUAAUAAGAUCAACUUCAAAGACACUAUCAAAAGAAAAUAAGUUUAUAUAAAUUCUAAUAGAAGCCCUUUUAAACAACCUCUUUUUGAAGUAGUAAUCUAUCCACAUCCUAUAACCAACAAAAAUUAACUAAUAUGGCUUUCACCAUAUUGUCUAGAAACUUGGUCAACAAGAUAAUUAUGUAUUGGUAGAUUCCAGAACAAGCUAACUAUGUGGUGCACAUAUGAAAAACUUGCCUUGCAAAUUAAGAUACAUGUCUUACAAAGUUAACACAUUUUAGAGGUCCUAAAGAACAUUGUAAUGUAGCUCAUAAUUAAGAGUAUAUAUAGAGGCAAGAGUGAAGCCUUCUUCUUUUUUGCCAACGCCUUUCUAAUCUUUAGUCUUGUUUCAAGACUUUUUAGUCUUUUUGUUUUUAGCAAUAGCUAUUCUAGUUUAAUAUAAUAUCAUUGUGAUUACUCGUUUUACUUAUUCCGGAAGAAACCUCCCAGAAUAAACCCGUAUAGGGGGAUUCAAACAUGGAGAAUGACUAGUUGCUUAAGCAUUCACGUUAGGAUCACAUAAUCAAUUACCUCCUAAAUGUAUCGUCUCUAUUUCCAAUAUCUGAACACAGAAGGAAACUAUAAUCUCCUCCUUCACCUUAUUGAUUUCUUCCUUACAGCAAUUGAGUCAUAUCAAUAACUGCUAUUUCCACCAAUAUAUUCACCUUCAUAAUCUCUAACUGUAAUACUACGCCUUCACAGCUUUCAACACACAAUUACCCUCGUUUCAAUCACUAGAAUUCUUCACACAGAACUGCCAUUCACAUUACAGUGUUUCACACAAAUACAGACUCAUUCUCUCUACUGAAUUACAAUCAGAUUUCAACAUUCAAUCUUUCUUCUUCUCAAAUAAUACCAAUCACAUUUCCAUUCCAUAAUUCACUUCACAAUAUUCAGAAACUUUCAAUCUUCUUAUUCAAAGAAAAUAACAAACAAAAGAAAAGAGGUAGCACCAAGCUUACUCCGGCUCACAACUCUCACAGUCUGGCCCUCGGCUCA